rnacentral:rRNA from 1 species
GCGCACCAGGCGCGAAAACUCCGCAAUGCCCGAAAGGGUGACGGGGGGAUUCCAAGUGCCUACGCUUAGCGUAGGCUGUUCAGGUGCCUAAAAAAGCACCUGGAGGAAGGGCUGGGUAAGACGGGUGCCAGCCGCCGCGGUAAUACCCGCAGCCCGAGUGGUAGUCGCUUUUAUUGGGCCUAAAGCGUCCGUAGCCGGUCUGGUAAAUGCCUGGGUAAAUCGUGGGGCUUAACCUCACGAAUUCCGGGUAGACUGCCAGACUUGGGACCGGUUGAGGGAGAGGGCACUCCAGGGGUAGGGGUGAAAUCAGCAAGGUAAGCUGAUGUAACUUGCCUUGCAAGUCACAAUCCUGUAAUCCUUGGAGGACCACCGGUGGCGAAAAGCGCUCUCCUAGGACGGGUCCGACGGGUGAGGGACGAAAGCCAGGGGGAGCAAAACCGGAUUAGAUACCCCCGUAGU